rnacentral:rRNA from 1 species
GGCAGGGCGGCAGGCUACACAUGCAGUCGAGCGGUAGCACAGAGAGCUUGCUCUCGGGUGACGAGCGGCGGACGGGUGAGUAAUGUCUGGGAAACUGCCUGAUGGAGGGGGAUAACUACUGGAAACGGUAGCUAAUACCGCAUAAUGUCGCAAGACCAAAGUGGGGGACCUUCGGGCCUCAUGCCAUCAGAUGUGCCCAGAUGGGAUUAGCUAGUAGGUGGGGUAACGGCUCACCUAGGCGACGAUCCCUAGCUGGUCUGAGAGGAUGACCAGCCACACUGGAACUGAGACACGGUCCAGACUCCUACGGGAGGCAGCAGUGGGGAAUAUUGCACAAUGGGCGCAAGCCUGAUGCAGCCAUGCCGCGUGUGUGAAGAAGGCCUUCGGGUUGUAAAGCACUUUCAGCGGGGAGGAAGGCGAUAAGGUUAAUAACCUUGUCGAUUGACGUUACCCGCAGAAGAAGCACCGGCUAACUCCGUGCCAGCAGCCGCGGUAAUACGGAGGGUGCAAGCGUUAAUCGGAAUUACUGGGCGUAAAGCGCACGCAGGCGGUCUGUCAAGUCGGAUGUGAAAUCCCCGGGCUCAACCUGGGAACUGCAUUCGAAACUGGCAGGCUAGAGUCUUGUAGAGGGGGGUAGAAUUCCAGGUGUAGCGGUGAAAUGCGUAGAGAUCUGGAGGAAUACCGGUGGCGAAGGCGGCCCCCUGGACAAAGACUGACGCUCAGGUGCGAAAGCGUGGGGAGCAAACAGGAUUAGAUACCCUGGUAGUCCACGCCGUAAACGAUGUCGAUUUGGAGGUUGUGCCCUUGAGGCGUGGCUUCCGGAGCUAACGCGUUAAAUCGACCGCCUGGGGGAGUACGGCCGCAAGGUUAAAACUCAAAUGAAUUGACGGGGGCCCGCACAAGCGGUGGAGCAUGUGGUUUAAUUCGAUGCAACGCGAAGAACCUUACCUGGUCUUGACAUCCACAGAACUUUCCAGAGAUGCAUUGGUGCCUUCGGGAACUGUGAGACAGGUGCUGCAUGGCUGUCGUCAGCUCGUGUUGUGAAAUGUUGGGUUAAGUCCGCAACGAGCGCAACCCUUAUCUUUGUGCCAGCGGUUCGGCCGGCAACUCAAGAGACUGCAGUGAUAAACUGGAAGAAGUGAGAUGACGGUCAAGUUCAUCAUGGCUACGAUCAGGACUACCACGUGCCUACAAUGGCAUAUUACCAAAGGAGG